GGCCUCACGUAACAAACCAGUUCCUUAAACAUAAAAUUAUUCUUAGGCUUGAAAUUGAGCCCAGACAUGGCCAAACAGAAUAGAGGCAAAAUCCAGAAAACCAACAGUACAUAUCAUCAUGCAACUCUUUUGGGAUUUCCAGUGAGUUUAAUACAUCAAUAUAAAAUUACCAGAGGAAUUCAUUUCUGACCUCCACAACUUUAUUAUAAAUCACAAUUAUUUACAUGUAGGCUCAGUGCUUAGUUAACAAGACUUUGAGCCAUUGAAUAACAAUUAACUAAGAAAUGAAGAUUAAACAAGACUUGUCCUACGAAAUAACCAACAGAAUUAACCUAGACUAUUAAAACCAAAUACACAUUUGGAUGCUAAUCCUCCAUAAAGCUGCCAGCUCUUCCCAUACUUUAGUAAUAUCAAUUUCAGCUUCUAAUUCUCGUGGAUCUGAUCAUGUCGAGAUUAGACCAUCAAGAGCCAUGUUGCACAUAUAAUGACCAUUGGCUAACAGCCAAAACUCAGCCCAUGAAGCAAAAUAUUAGGCAUGAAUGAUCAAUAAAACAAUGUACAUAUAACUCAGGCCUAACACAUAUCAACUAAUUCAUUUUGAAGCACAAGAAAAUCAUUUUUUUAAGCAUAGAGAACAAGAAUCAACAGAGAUAUACACCCUAUUAUUCAAGCGAUACUUCUAGAAUUCAUGUGAGGUUAAGAUUACAAAGAUUUUGGCAUAUGGCCAUGAUGUGUACCUUAGUGCCUGAAAUUCCGCUCCAAAAUACCAAAUAAAACACAAAUACUUCAGCAAUAGAGAGAAAGGCAGAAAAUAGCCAAUAAAAAGCUUCAAUAUCAAGUCACAAGAGCUCCAAAACCCAGCAAUACCAAGCAAGAUUGUUCAGGUUUUUUUUCUACCCGAAGAAAAGAAGAGCCUACUAUUUGAGAUUCUUUUUUUUGAAAGAUUUUUAGCGGUCUGUUUUCUAUGUGUAGGGAGUGAGGAGAGUGCCUUAUUUAUCCCCAAAAUCUGUUGUAUGCCUCUCAAGUUAAGGAAAUAGGAAUUUUCCAAAAUACCCCUUACAUGGCAUCUUUUCCUAACAGAAAUUGGGCAGCUGGCCAGUACUAAUUGGCUUCAGCAGCUUGUACUGGUAGAAUAGCACCAGUUUUCCAUGCCAUAGAACCUUCUAGAUACAUGAUCCCAUUUCCAAACACUCAAAUUACCCCCUUUAUGUUUUUAUUACCCCUUUAACCUCUCCUAAGUUUCUGUUAUUCCCAAAUUAAUACUAACACAUUCAGUCAAAGAACAAAUCAAAAUUCAAAUUGAACAAAAGAAAAUCAUUAAGCAUUUGGACCUUUUAAGCUAACCAAAACAAAACAAUUCAGAAAACAUAAGCAUUUACAUCUAAAACCAAAUGAGUGUCAAAUGAAAAAUUGUUCAAACUUAUUGAAGCUAUGAGAUGAAAACCUAAUAGCAAUUAAACUAAAAUAAACAUGCAAACUGAGUAAGGAAACCAAUACGAAUGGAAAAAUUAAUCAAGGACCAAUCAGAAAUUAGAAGGAACAAAAUUCGGAUUCAGAAGAUUUUUCAUCAAUUAAUUCUGAAUUAACCUAAGAACAAAAUUAAAACCCAAACAAUUUCAGAAAAGAGAGGAGAAGAAUACCCUCAGGAAAUGGAAAAUUCUGGACUUCGAAUGCACUUUUUCCGGUCAAAGGCAAAUUGACCGGAUCUUGACGAAUUUGAAAUAAGUCGGAACUCACAUUAAUCAACGGGUCUUGACAAUAACUAAUGUUAGUCUUGACUCAAAGCAGUCUAAAAUAACAAAAAAUUUGAGGAAAAAGAGGCUUGAUACUCCAUACUCCUUUGAGAUCCAGAAACCAGGUAAUUUCAGGGUGCUCUGGGGAAAAUCAACAAGGUAUUUGGGUUUAGGAGUGUGGGAAGGUUACAAGGUGCGAAUUUGGGUGGGUUUGGAGACCUAGGGUUUUUGGACAUGAAUCUCAGAUUUGAAAUUUGAGAUCCUAGUUGGUAAUCUGAAAGAAGCUAAUGGGAAAUUUGAAACAAAGAGGUGGGGGAGAUUCUGGGGUGUAUAUUUGGAGUGGAUUGACGGUAUUUAUGGCGUCGCCGCCGCAAGAGACGGUGUGGAUUUUUAGGUUGGUGGCUAGGUUUUUCAUUCUUUGAACUGAGAGAUGGAAAUAAGGGGGGAAUGGAAUNNN
rnacentral:lncRNA from 1 species